AACGAACGCUGGCGGCAUGCCUAACACAUGCAAGUCGAACGAGACCUUCGGGUCUAGUGGCGCACGGGUGCGUCACGCGUGGGAACCUGCCCUUAGGUUCGGAAUAACUCCCCGAAAGGGGUGCUAAUACCGGAUAAUGUCUUCGGACCAAAGAUUUAUCGCCUUUGGAUGGGCCCGCAUUGGAUUAGCUAGGUGGUAGGGUAAAAGCCUACCAAGGCGACGAUCCAUAGCUGGUCUGAGAGGAUGAUCAGCCACACUGGGACUGAGACACGGCCCAGACUCCUACGGGAGGCAGCAGUGGGGAAUAUUGGACUAUGGGCGAAAGCCUGAUCCAGCAAUGCCGCGUGAGUGAUGAAGGCCUUAGGGUUGUAAAGCUCUUUUACCCGGGAUGAUAAUGACAGUACCGGGAGAAUAAGCUCCGGCUAACUCCGUG
rnacentral:rRNA from 1 species